CUGCCCUACGCCGGUGGCUCACAGACCCUACUGCACUACUGCCCUCUCGCUAACAGCCCUGCGGACAUCGCUGGGACCCGGGGCCCUGCGGCCACAACCAUGUUUCACAGGAAGCGUAGCGUCUCCUUUGGGGGCUUCGGAUGGAUCGACAAGACCAUGCUGGCGAGUCUGAAGGUCAAGAAGCAGGAGCUGGCCAACAGCUCGGAUGUGACCCUCCCAGAGCGGCCGCUGUCCCCUCCUCUCACUGCACCUCCCACCAUGAAGGUAAGAGCUUAGAGUUGGUAAAGGGAGAGAGGAAGCAUGUAGGAAAAGUGUCGAGGCCUUGAUGUCACUUUGCCUGCAGGCGCAGCUGUUCUGCGUCUCAGUGGGGGCCAUGGAGUGCCCGACACCUCUGGAGUCAGCAUCUGAUUAAGCUGCACUGGUGUUGUAAGACAGCGUGGCUGUGAGACUGAGGUGUGGCUGUGUCAAGGGGCAGCGAGGAAAUGGACUGGUGCUGAAACAGGGUUGGCAAGGCUCUUGGUCAUUAGCAGAAGGCCUGGUGGAGCUGAGGGGCUCAGGAACAAGGAGCCCAGAUA